rnacentral:rRNA from 1 species
CGCGAUCGAUCAGAGUUUGAUCCUGGCUCAGGAUGAACGCUGACAGAAUGCUUAACACAUGCAAGUCGACUCGAGUCUUCGGACUUGGGUGGCGCACGGGUGAGUAACGCGUAAUCAACCUGCCCUUCAGAGGGGGACAACAGAUGGAAACGUCUGCUAAUACCGCAUACGUUCUUGUUAUCGCAUGAUGAUGAGAAGAAAGGUGGCCUCUUGAAAAAGCUACCACUGAAGGAGGGGAUUGCGUCUGAUUAGCUAGUUGGAGGGGUAACGGCCCACCAAGGCGAUGAUCAGUAGCCGGUCUGAGAGGAUGAACGGCCACAUUGGGACUGAGACACGGCCCAA